AGGGUUGUGGCUCAGUGGUAGAGCACUAACCUUGCGUGUAUGAGGCACUGGGUUUGAUUCUCAGCACCACAU
rnacentral:tRNA from 1 species